rnacentral:rRNA from 1 species
UACAGAGGUCUCAAGCGUUUGUUCGGAUUCAUUGGGCGUAAAGGGUGCGUAGGUGGCGCGGUAAGUCGGGUGUGAAAUCUCGGAGCUUAACUCCGAAAUUGCAUUCGAUACUGCCGUGCUCGAGGACUGGAGAGGAGACUGGAAUUCAUGGUGUAGCAGUGAAAUGCGUAGAGAUCAUGAGGAAGACCAGUGGCGAAGGCGGGUCUCUGGACAGUUCCUGACACUGAGGCACGAAGGCCAGGGGAGCAAAACGGG